rnacentral:tRNA from 1 species
UAGAAAAUGGUGUAGAGGAAGCACUAGGAGUUUUGAUCUCCUGGGGGGGGGUUCGAAACCCCUUUUUCUAA